UUCUAGAACACCUUCUAAUCAAGGCGACCUUAUAUUAUCAACCCAUAUGGGUCGUUAUUAAGGUUCCUCCUAGAUGAGGUCUAUCCCGAAGGAUUACCAUAGGAAGGAUUGCUCCCUCUCAUGGUAAAACAAGGGUAUAGUCCAUGACUCUAGGAAUAUCAUCUUACCCAAAGUUUUAUAUCCUACAAGUGAAGGGAUUGGGUAGCCUAAUCUUAGAUCCGACCUAAUCAUAAG
rnacentral:lncRNA from 1 species